UACAGAGGGUGCAAGCGUUGUUCGGAAUUAUUGGGCGUAAAGCGCGUGUAGGCGGCUUUGCAAGUCGGGUGUGAAAGCCCUCAGCUCAACUGAGGAAGUGCGCCCGAAACUGCAGAGCUUGAGUGCCGGAGAGGGUGGCGGAAUUCCCGGUGUAGAGGUGAAAUUCGUAGAUAUCGGGAGGAACACCAGUGGCGAAGGCGGCCGGCUGGGCCGACCCUGACACUGAGGCGCGAAGGCGUGGGGAGCGAACGGG
rnacentral:rRNA from 1 species